GAUGAACGCUGGCGGCGUGCCUAAUACAUGCAAGUCGAGCGAACAGACGAGGAGCUUGCUCCUCUGACGUUAGCGGCGGACGGGUGAGUAACACGUGGAUAACCUACCUAUAAGACUGGGAUAACUUCGGGAAACCGGAGCUAAUACCGGAUAAUAUAUUGAACCGCAGGGUUCAAUAGUGAAAGACGGUUGUGCGGUCACUUAUAGAUGGAUCCGCGCCGCAUUAGCUGGUUGGUAAGGUAACGGGUUACUAAGGCAACGAUGCGUAGCCGACCUGUGAGGGUGAUCGCCGACCUGGGAGCUGGGCCGCCGACAAUACUCCUGCGGGAGGGACCAGAAGCCUACGUUCCGCAGCAGGCGAGAGCAUUACGGAACGACGCCGCGUGAGUGACGAAAGUCUUGGGAUCGUAAAGCUCUCUUAUGAGGUAAGAACAGAUGUGGAAGUAACUAUGCACGUAUUGACGGUAACUAAUCAGAAAGCCACGGCUAACUACGUG
rnacentral:rRNA from 1 species